AGAGUUUGAUCCUGGCUCAGGACGAACGCUGGCGGCGUGCCUAACACAUGCAAGUCGAACGAGAAUCUUUGAACAGAUCUUUUCGGAGUGACGUUCAAAGAGGAAAGUGGCGGACGGGCGAGUAACGCGUGAGUAACCUGCCCAUAAGAGGGGGAUAAUCCAUGGAAACGUGGACUAAUACCGCAUAUUGUAAUUAAGUUGCAUGACUUGAUUAUGAAAGAUUUAUCGCUUAUGGAUGGACUCGCGUCAGAUUAGAUAGUUGGUGAGGUAACGGCUCACCAAGUCAACGAUCUGUAGCCGAACUGAGAGGUUGAUCGGCCGCAUUGGGACUGAGACACGGCCCAGACUCCUACGGGAGGCAGCAGUGGGGAAUAUUGCGCAAUGGGGGCAACCCUGACGCAGCAACGCCGCGUGCAGGAAGAAGGUCUUCGGAUUGUAAACUGUUGUCGCAAGGGAAGAAGACAGUGACGGUACCUUGUGAGAAAGUCACGGCUAACUACGUGCCAGCAGCCGCGGUAAUACGUAGGUGACAAGCGUUGUCCGGAUUUACUGGGUGUAAAGGGCGCGUAGGCGGACUGUCAAGUCAGUCGUGAAAUACCGGGGCUUAACCCCGGGGCUGCGAUUGAAACUGACAGCCUUGAGUAUCGGAGAGGAAAGCGGAAUUCCUAGUGUAGCGGUGAAAUGCGUAGAUAUUAGGAGGAACACCAGUGGCGAAGGCGGCUUUCUGGACGACAACUGACGCUGAGGCGCGAAAGUGUGGGGAGCAAACAGGAUUAGAUACCCUGGUAGUCCACACCGUAAACGAUGAUUACUAGGUGUUGGAGGAUUGACCCCUUCAGUGCCGCAGUUAACACAAUAAGUAAUCCACCUGGGGAGUACGACCGCAAGGUUGAAACUCAAAGGAAUUGACGGGGGCC
rnacentral:rRNA from 1 species